GAUGAACGCUGACAGAAUGCUUAACACAUGCAAGUCUACUUGAACUUCGGUUUGGGUGGCGGACGGGUGAGUAACGCGUACAGAACUUGCCUCACAGUUAGGGACAACAUUUGGAAACGAAUGCUAAUACCUGAUAUUAUGAUUUUAGGGCAUCCUAAACUUAUGAAAGCUAUAUGCGCUGUGAGAGAGCUUUGCGUCCCAUUAGCUAGUUGGAGAGGUAACGGCUCACCAAGGCGAUGAUGGGUAGCCGGCCUGAGAGGGUGAACGGCCACAAGGGGACUGAGACACGGCCCUUACUCCGACGGGAGGCAGCAGUGGGGAAUAUUGGACAAUGGACCAAAAGUCUGAUCCAGCAAUUCUGUGUGCACGAUGACGUUUUUCGGAAUGUAAAGUGCUUUCAGUUGGGAAGAAAAAAAUGACGGUACCAACAGAAGAAGUGACGGCUAAAUACGUG
rnacentral:rRNA from 1 species